GGGACUCUGGGGCCCGUCACGGCACAGGCACCACACGCAUGGUAUUGGUGAAGCCGGAGCCAGGGCGCCACCCGGUCAGCACAAUGACCACAUCUCCCUUCUUGAAGAAGCCUCGGGCCUUGCCUGAAAGAAGAGAAGAAAGGUCGGUGAGAAAAAGCAAGCCAGGCAGGAGAGCACCUGUCUGACCCGCCCGCCGAGGUAGCCAGACUGGGUGACCCUUACUGCCUCCCACCACAAGGUGGCGCAAGCCGCCCAGCCCAGGGACCAGGGAGGCCCCGACUCUUCCUCAUCAAUUGAAAUGGCAGCUGCCGGGGACCUUUGGACAUCAUUUUAUACUCUAGAGGGUGGAGUAGUCCCUCUCAUGCACGGACAUCCUACUUUUAUUAGGGACAAAGGCCAUGAGUACGUGAUCUGUGUGUAGGACACCCCAUGAUGUAACGCUCUAAUCUUUUCUUAACCCUCAACAAGGAGCAGAUGCCCAAGAAGGGACAUUCCUGACUAUCCAGGAUCCUUUGCUUUGGGCCCCGGAUGGGAAGACAGAGAAGUGGGCAGCUCAGCCCCAGAACUCCAAGGCUCCUCCUCCCUCCUGGGCUUAGCCCAGAACUUCAGGGAAUGGGAAGGAGGAGUCAGAGAACGUUCCCUGGGAAGACAGCUAGGACUCUUGCACACUCCAAGGUCAGCAUGUUCCCCUUUCUCUAGGAUCCCAGGGAGAUCAGUGCCCAAGCACCGUCCCCACCCCUCCAGGCAGGUGCUAGCCCUUGCUCCCAGCCACGCACCAACAUUCAUGGCCAAGUUCACCCGGAGGUCCACGUCCUCAGCCCAGGCCUCCUGCACUGGGUCCUUACACACCACAGGGAAGAUGCCGCGGUACAGGUGGGCCUGGCGAGCAGUCUGGUGGUUCCGGGUCACAGCGAUGAUGGGGGCGCGGGGGCGGUAUCUAGCCACCUGGUGAGCGGACCUGCGACAGGAUGACGGCCAAGCAGAAGAGACCAUUAAACAGUGUUCCAGAGCCUCCCAGAGCCCCCCACAGGGCCUUCAGCAACAACUCAGCCUCUAAUCCAACUCAUUCUGCCAGCAUCAGACUCUGGCCACUUUAGCAUCUGCUCCCCGUGCCAGGGCUGCCCCUCGUCCUCCACCUUCCGAGGAACAGAAUCCGACUCUUCUUCCUAUGCUAUCUGUCCACUUGGCUUUUUACCCCCCUCCCCACAGCCCAGGGCCCCAGGAUCACACCGACCCGGCGCGGUCAGUCUCACCCACUCACCCCACACGACUCAGUUGGCAGAAGCCCCUCCUCUGAACUUUCCCAUCCUGGCACAGAUACAGCCCUGCCCAACCUCACCAGCACCCAUUCCUCCUGCUGCCAGCAGCAGCUACAAGCCAAGCAGCAUGUGAAUAGCACCUGACUCUUGGCAUCUGCAAAGAACAGCAGCAGAGCUCACCAGCCCCCCAGGGAACCUACAAAGCCAGCCCUCUACUGCUGUGCCCUCUCCCCCAGCCUACAUGGCCCCCAAGUCCCUAAAACAGUCCUAGCAACCCAGCUCUAGAGCCAAACCUGGGUAUUACCCAGGAGGCUAGACCAGGAGAUGGGAAGGUUAAUGUGGGAGGCUCUGUCUGUGCAGAGUCCCCUGGAGGGUAGAGGGCCCCUCUGGGCCCCAGUGCCACAUGCUUCCUUGAACAUUGUACACUUGUGGCUGUAGACCGGUCUCAGGAGCUGGGGAGGGGCUUGCUUGCAGGAGGCACUGGGCGUCGGAAGGCAAGCCCUAAGGACACCGACAGGUGUCAGGGAAACUUAAGCCAUGUCACAGCAGAGGCUGCCCUGCUAAAGGCCUGGCCCCCAUACAAGGCUUCAGAGGGAAGCAAGUGCUGAAGUCGGGACUGGUUAGAGUGAAAUCCCAGAAGACUGGAGCUAAAAAUAGCCAAAGAGCAAAGGCUGGACCUUUCCACAAAGGUCAACCCUGAUGGUUGGAGCUGUUUAUCCGGAGCCCUCUGCUGAGGAAUUCCUGUGGCCCUGCAGGCAGGGAUGAGGAGCACACUCCCAGACUGGGGCAAUGACAGAGGCUGACUCCAUGUCCAGAUGAGGAGGAGAUCCCAAGCCAAGGCCAAUCAGCAGCCUCAGCUCGGCGGCCCGACACUAGGGUGCCAGCAAGAUGACGUGGUGACCUUUCCUAGGCCUGAAUCUGCUUGCCUUUGGGGCUCAAAGACAGACAGAGACAGGUGCACCAACCCAACAGCACGUCAGUGAACAGCACUAAUCUCCCAAACUGAACUUUUAAAGGGCAUGUAGUGGCUGGAAUGAACAAAACUGGUCAUCAAUUACUUUCUUAAAAGAUGAACUUUCACAUACUCAAGUGAGCAUGUGCAGUCUGUCGUUCGGCAACGAAGUCUCUAGUCUAACCUCGGGUCCUCAGGCCCAGGUGGCAGGCAGAGGGGCUUACCUGGGCUCAGGGCCAUCUGAGCCCCGAUCAACGCACGGCUCUCGGGACGCCCAGGGAAGGUGCCCCGAGCAGGGCGUGCCCUGGGAGCCGCUGCCACCUCCUACCUGCCAGACUUGGUGAGCACGAUUAUGGCCCCGCUGCAACACUUGAAGGAGGCCUCCACGGCGCCCACGGCGGCGGCUUCUGUGGGGUCGCUGGUAAUGGGCGCCAGGCGGCGGAGUUCCUCAAAUAAUUGCAAGUGGUAGAUGGCGGCCUCUGCCUCACGGGCAAUCUAGGGGAGCAACAUCCGUCCAGAGGGACAGGAGGGGGACAGGACUGUCAGAGCGGUGUCGCACGGGAGACGGAGGGGAAGAGGCUCACAGACAGCUGGUGAGGGACGUGUCCCCGGACAGGAGGCCAAGAGGCGGCGGACAACUGGAGCCGCGGACCCGCGCAAGACCAAGGUUCAUGGGAACUGGCCCAUCACCAGGUGCCUGUGGCAGCCACUGUGCCUACCGAGCCGGAGGCCCUUGCGGUCCUGCCCUGCCCUGACUCCCUGGCUGGCUUCCUGCAGACGAGGAGAGGACUGGAGCCGGGCCCCAGCUGCAGGGCUGCGCCCCAGCCGUCUUCUAGAUCAGCUGGAGCAAGAGGCUGGUUAUCCUACGGAGUUACCUGCCCUUGGGGCCCUACCUGCCAGACUCCGUCAGAACUAUCAAAGCUGCUGCUAAACACUUAUAAGAAGCCUCCACGCUGCCCAUGGCCAUGGCUUCCAUGAGGUCUGUGGAGUGGCUUGAGCCUCGCACAAGUUCUUCAAACAGCUUGCGGUGGAACAUGGCUGCCUCAGCCUCACGAGCUAUCUGUAAGGUUUGGAGGGGGGAGGAGAAGCAAGAAGAGGGAAGGAGGAGGGAGAAAAACGAGAGACAACACAUGGAAAGACAGAAUGGGGAAUUAAUCAGAGGAAGGUAACCUUAGGUUAAUUGGCUAAAUCUGUCCUUCAUGCAGAUGCGAAGAGGCAGCAUGAUGAAAGCCCAACUGCUCAGGGAUGGCUGGAGAAUUUCCAGCAUCAACUGCUGCUGUUUCCUCUCCAAAAGAGGAAAAAUGGGGUUUUCCAUUCUGGAAGGAUUUUCUGAUUGGGGGUGGGGGGGUAGAGGGAGACAAGAUGGCGGCAGGCACCGGCGCCUUGGCAUAGGAACAUGCCCAGGCUGGGCCCACGCCGCUCCCUGGCAGGACCUGACCAUGCUGCCUCAAGACACAGCUUACAGGAAGGAACAGGCCCUCCCUCCUCACAUGGCUGUCUGGUUACCACGGGGCGUCUUGCCUGGCUUCCAUGCACACAUGGAGCACUUGCUUGGCCUCCGCAUGCGGCUGCUAGGAGCCUUUCCGAUGGCCUGCCAUGGAAACGCGCGGAGCAGCGCUGGAAAGCUGGGGUCAGAUGAAGCCAAAGCCACACAGCUUAACCGAGGUCCAAGCACAAAGGUGGGGAGAUGGCAAACUUGCGAGGGGCACACUCAACAGCCAUGUGAAGGGACAGAAGCCUGUGGAAGCACACGGGUGAGUUUAACAGAGACGCUUGAUUACAACAUUAAGGAUUAUCACAGUCAUGAGAAAGCCGUUCCGUUAUAGUCACAGACUACCUGCUCGGAUAACAUCAGGAAGUAGAAAGAAAAUUUAAGCUUCGGAAGAUUGGAAUCUUAGAGAAUGACGGGUGCGAGAAAAAUCAGAACGUUCCAUUAAUUUGACGGUAAAGGCAGGUACAGGAUUCACUAGGUUAAAGGUUUUCUUUCUUCUCUAAGAACGGAGUGCAUGCAACCCAAAGGACAGGAGACCGAGCAGGAAACGGGACGUACCUGAGACGGCCUAGCCCUGAGUUAUGGGUGGUUAAUUGCCUCAUUUACACAACACACGAGAGAAAGCAGUGAACGGUUAAGAGAAGCUCGGCGUUAACUGGGACUUGAGGAGAGGCCACCUCACCUACACCUCAUCACUUAUCUUCUGAGCAGUGCCAUCCAAGCCCUGGGGUUCUCUCUAAGGUGUGUCUGUCUGUCCAGAGGAGAAACUGGUUAUGGAAAAAUAGCUGGAAUUCAGAGGCCAGAGGGAGAGUCUUAAUCUCUGAGCCCAGUACAGGCCCCUGAUGGAGACGUGGCCUUAUCGCCUGCUAGACAGAACACUACAUACAGGACAACACUGGCCCUGCAGCCAGCAGUUCUGGGUUCAAACUAAGGCUUUAUCAUCACGUAAUCCUCAUCCGUAAAUUGGGGUGACAUCUAUCACACAGGGGAUAUACGAAGAUUACAUCAAUCUACACAGGCUAAUAACUGGACACACAAAAAGUGAACGAGGAAAGGAAGAGACUUUGUGUAUGGGGGGUUACAUCUGGGAGAGUUCGGGGGAGGCGGCAUCACGCAAAGGGUCCCUCUGCUGAUGGGAAAAGGAAUAGGUCAAGGAAAAACCACUUCAGGAUCAGAGGCAAGUUUGCAGAGCUCCACACAUGUUAAGUGCUGACACUGGACUACUGUUAAGAAAGUGAAUGUGCAGGCCUCUGCCUCCCAGGCCUCAGAAGCCCUAGUAAGUGAACCCUGGGUGAAGUCUUCCGUGUGUCUAGAGCAGGACCAGACAGGGCCAAGGAACUGAGAAGGAGCCAGGCAGGGGCACAUGGCCAAGCCCAAGAGCGUCAGAGCUAGCUAGCUGCCGGGGUGGGAAAAAGCUGCCUCCAGGACUCUUCCGGAGGCUCUCCCUCCACGCCCCAGCAGGUUCAGUCGCCUUCCACCUGCCUCUACUUGUGGACUUGCUGCCAGUCACUAAACCCCACCGUUCAGCAGCUCAGCGAAGCAGGCCCCGCUGCAGGCGCCAUGCAAGGCCAGCUCGGUCCCCUCACACACACGACAGCCUCCAGUGCAGGCCCGGGGCCCCUGGGGGCGGGGUGAGACACCUGAUGUGGCCAGGUGGGGAUGCAAAUGGAAGCCAGACAGGCUGGCAGGGAGCAGGAGCCCACGGCCUCUUCUGGGUCCUCUGGGCUGUCCAGAGGAAGAGGGACAAGUACCUCAGUACUUGAAUCAUGGGACAGAUUCACAACCUCGAGGCCAGAAGUGAACCGUGUAGGCUGAUGAAGGAGGAUGCCUCCAGGACAGGAGGAGACAGGAGAUGGAGCGUGGACAGUGAAGACAGAAGAGAACGAAAACCAAGACACCCCCUCCUCCCCAGCACACACCUCCGCAGUCUUGCUGUGACUUAUUAGAGGAUCAUAAAAGGCUGUGGGCACAGAAGCCUGAAAGGUGUUGCCUCGUACCAGAGCCUGCUUCCACCCAGCCCGAGCCUACAGACAUCGGCGGGGAGGCCCGAGGAACUCACCAGGUGCUGCAUGCGAACAGCCUCCAGGGGGUAAUCCCCUUUGGCGGUCUCUCCAGACAGCAUGAUGCAGUCAGCUCCAUCCAGCACUGCAUUGGCCACAUCACUGCCCUCAGCCCGGGUGGGACGAGGCUUCUUGAUCAUGCUCUCCAGCAUCUGCGCGGGGACAGAGCAUUAGUGAGAUGUGGCCUGGGCGGUCUCCAGAAAAGAAGGACUACAGGCUGAUUCCCUGGAUCCUGUGUUCGUGCACAGAGUAAGGCUUUGUGUGCAUGCACGAGGGGAAGGGAGGGUGCACGUGUGUUUGAGAGGCGUGGGGCAGGGUCCUGGGAAGAGACCAAGCAGCACCCGCCUGUGAGUGUGUGUGUGGGGAGAGGCACAUGCCUGUGUCGCACAGAUGACAGGCUUGCCCGCUCGGUUGCACCGCCCAAUCAUCAUCUUCUGAGCAAGGAAGACCUUCUCUGCAGGAAUCUCAAUGCCUAGAUCACCUCGAGCCACCAUGAUGCCAUCGCUGGCUUCCAGGAUCUCAUCAAACCUGACAAAGAGGGCAGGGAGAGAGAGGUUCUAUGGAACAAGGCCGCAAGUGCAGUGACGCACAGAGGUUCUCCUGGACUCUGACUCAGCAGCCCUUCACCAGGACAGCCGUCCAGGACCUCGCCGUGGGCACAAAGGGGAUGGGGUGUUCCAGCUACCUGGUCUCCCAAGGUGGGCUAACAGUACUGCUUGCUGGGCUGCUUUAGCACUCGUAUGGAGGUUCCACGAAGGGGUAAGGGAAAAGACAAGGUUUCCUCCGAAGCCCCCUGGGUUUGUUUCCUCUCCCCCUGCAGGUCAUGAGGCCCCGCCUAAGGCACCUCUCUACCACCCCCACUGCCGCCAGCACUUCCAAGGUUAGCUGACUGCUCCUGACACAAAGGUCUGUGGCCUUCCAGCCAAGGACACCUGAGGGCUGUUCCUUGAGGGGGGCCCCUCCAACCUGCUGAAGGCAUGAGGACAUGUGGCUUUGCCUGGCCUAUGGCCAAGGACAGCUAGCACCCAUGGUUUAUCAGGACAGCAGAAGGUAGACUCCAUAUUGCCUGGUACAAAGGCCACCCGCACAAAGCUAAGGAUGGCAAGAUCAAACAGCAGGUAGGGCUGCCCCUCUGCCCUCUCCAAGCACAGGCCUAAUCCACCCAAGUAGGUCUGGGGUUUUAGUUCUGGUGACUUAUGUUCCUAGCAGGGAGCUGCAGAGGAACAGAUGUCACCAAGCUGGCCAUACUCUUUUAGCUCUACUUGGGGAUACUGGGGAGGAGGUGAAGUACAGCUAGGACCACAUGCUUUCCUCCAGGAAGCUGGGAACAUGCCAGAACCGGCCCAGUCAGCAGGCCAACUGCCUUUUAAGUGAAGACAAGGACACCAUGAGCUUCCACCUAUCUCCCAAGUGAGGGGCCAAACAAGAGCACCUUCCUAACAGCCUGCCAUCUUCUUCCUUCCACUGGGAAAAAUGGGGUGGAGGUGUAGGAUGGGGGGAAACGUCCUCUUAUUCCAGCAAACACAGGUAGCGCUCAUCAGGAGGACAGCAUGAGGGCCCCUGUGAGCAGUGACCCUCCCCAUCCACUCCCAACACUGGGCCUGGGCCUACAGAACAAUGUCAGUCACUUCUGGGGUGCAUCGCCAUGCCAAUCACCUGGGAAGAUAUAUAUGAUAUAUGUAUUUUCUUAAAAAUACCCAUUCCUUGGGGCCCCUGGCUGGCCCACUUGAAAGAACAUGUGACUCUUCAUCUCAGGAUUGUGGGUUCAAGCCCCACAUCGGGUAUAGAGAUUACUUAAAUAAAAUUCAACAAAAAACUAAGUAAAUAGGGGCACCUGCGUGGCUCAGUGGUUGAGCAUCUGCCUUUGACUCAGGGCAAGAUCCUGGAAUCCCGGGAUCAAGUCCCACAUUGGGCUCCCUGCAUGGAGCCUGCUUCUCCUUCUGCCUGUGUCUCUCAUGAAUAAAUACAUCAAAUUAAAAAAAAAAAAAAAAAAACCUUAUGUAAAUAAUUAAAAAUGCCAAUGCCUUCUCCUCCCCAGUGGGUCUAGCCUAAGCUUGGGAGUUUGCACUCUGAUGGGUAGGUCGCCAGGUUUGGGACCUGGGUAUCCACGGGAUACAGUCUGCUUUCUGGAAUGCCGGGCUGGGGCUGAGGGGCAGGGGGCGGUCAGGACACCCACCUCCGAACUCCCUCAUGAUUCUCAAUUUUGCUGAUUAUCUUGAUGUUCUUCCCUUUCUCUCCCAGGACCUUCCUGACCUCAUGGACAUCAGCCGCCUUGCGGAUGAAAGACGCAAACACCAUAUCUACGUCCUGCUCCACCCCGAAUUUCAGAUCCUGGAUGUCCUUCUCUGACACAGCAGGCAGGUCCACAGCAGCCCCGGGGAGGUUCACACCCUUCUUGCUCCCCAAGGAGCCACCGUUCUCCACCUCCGUCACCAGGAAGUCAGCACCUGUGCGAAAUGGGGAUGGAGGGAUGGAAGCACAAUGUCCAACAGGAAGCAGGCUCUCCCCAGCAGGGUGAACUGGAAAGCAGCACAUUGUGGGUGCUGGAGCCACUAUGUCCAGAACUCAGAUCCUAACUCACUAAUCGUAAAGUCUGGGAAAGGUCAACUAACCUCUCUGUGCCUGUUUCCCCACCUGUCAGAGAUCAUAAUACCCACUCAUAAGGUUGUUAUAAAACGUGAACAAAUUACCAUGUAAAAUACUUGGGAUAGUGCCUGACACGUAUCACACUGAGCAAUGGAAGGAAGAAAACCACAAAGACACAAACAGGAUGGGGAAAAAGAAAUCUUCUCCUAUGCUCCCCAAGAAGGUGAUUAAGUUGAGCCAAAGUCUGUUGUAAAGGACAAGGAAUUACAGAAAGAAAUCCUGAGAAAAACCAGCCUUAACCUUGCUGUCAGCCAAACUUCCCACUUUCCUUGGGUCAAAGGAAAUUUAGGGCUGGUUCUAGACACCGAGACAUUGCCUCCAGUACAUACCUUUCUGCUUCACCUGCAGAGAAAUAAGCCCAUCGUCCACGUAGAUCUUGCUGCCCACUUCCACCACCUUGCAGAUGUUCUUGUAGUCCAGCCACAGGAUGUUCUCGUCACAUUUUUCCAUGUAGGCAUUGUCCAGGGUGAUCUUGAGAGUGGCUCCUUUCUUCAGCUCUACCUCUGCAGUCCCGCUCUACAGACAAGAGAAUAAGCCACGAGUCCAAACCACAGGAGCCGGGCCCGCUCCGAAGGAAAAGAAAAGCUCUUUCCUCCAGGGAACAUGCUCCAAUCCCAGCCAUGAGGAACAAUAAAGCUUCUGGCUUUGGAAAUAAACAAUCUUUUCUCAAGGAAGUGACCCAAGAAAGACUUACAACGUCCUACAACAUCAUCGUCUCGCUAUGUAACGAUAGAGGAAAAGCGACGGACAGACUUAGAAGGAGGUUCUCAGAGUAAAGUAAAAAAAAGAUUCUUCUUUGUACCAUUUUUUAGCAAAGUACACCAAAUCAACUUUUUUAGCCAUGAUGAAUAGAAUUUCCAGAUCUGCACUGUGAGGAACACGGCCUCCAACCGGGACACACGCCACCGAGGACGGCUCUCUAGGGCCCACUGCCUCCUGCACCUUCCCUCCCACUGGCCCCCGAUACUCACGCCUUUGAUGAGGCCAGUUCGGAUCUCAGGGCCUUUGGUGUCCAGGGCCACAGCCACUGGCCGGUAGAGGAUGGGGUCAGAAGCGAAGCUUUCUGUGGCUGCACGCACGUUCUUGAUGGUCUCUGCGUGGUACUGGGGGAAGGAAGAGGACAGCUGUGCUCCCACCCAAGAUCUGGAGCCGCGGCUGAAGCAGAUCACUCCGCAAAGGCCUGUGAUGUUCCAGACCUCUACCCUCCUGUGUCUGGCGUCAGGGUCAUCCACUCACUGAGCACCCCCCACUUGCUCAUUUCAAUCGCCUCGUUGCCACCCACUCCUUCCGUGGCACUCAUUCACUCGCUCACUCAAGGCCAAAUCUUAGAAACCCGAGAAUACGGCCACCAAAGCCUACUACAGGGAUGAUGUAAACACGUGUCAGCAUGAAAGAAGUCUGUCUCCCUUACGCUCAUGCUCCCUUGGCAAAUAAAGCAGACCGCGGGAGAAAAAGACCUUGCACUAACGUGUGUGUGGGUGAUACUGGCCGGGCAAUCAGUGUCAGAGUCCGGUGGGAGAGUUGGCAGUUCUGAGCUUUUCCCCUAUUGAUUCCAACUACAAUUCAAACUCCAGAGUUAUUUACUUAAGCUUACAAUAGCUCAAGCUAAAUAAGCCAUCGCCUAGGGGCCCGCAGACCUGGUUUUCGCAAUCACUUUCUGGAGUGGUCUAGGGAACAGGAAAAUGCGCCUCUCUCUGAACCACGUGCCCUGGCUUCCAGCCUUUUCCCCAGCCUUUUCCCUUUCCACUCGCCACGACUGACGACUAAAAAAGGGACUCAAAGCCAAGACGUCACCAAGUUCUUAGUGUAGCCACCAGGACGUUGCUGGUAACAGGGGCACCCAGUUCAGCACUUGACAGGCCUUGUCUGUCCUUCAGCCUGCCCGGGAGAGCAGCACCCAUAAGGCAGCUGAGGGGGGAGCUGGAACCAGAGUCUCAUCUCCAAGGACGGUGCUGCCUGAAGCUGUGUCUGAGAAUCUUCAGCUUCUAUUAUAGUCUCUGAUGAGGACCAUGGCUUGUUCUCUGGGGGCAGAUGUCCGUACUAGGAGUUAUGAAAAUAUGUCUUUCUAUUGCUAGCUUGUGAAACAGAAUAAAAAUAUUCUGUAUAGAACAGAA